UGACACGUAAGGGGCGAGCGUUGUUCGGAAUUAUUGGGCGUAAAGGGCGUGUAGGCGGAUAUAUAAGCCUGGUGUAAAAGGCUUCGGCUCAACCGGAGUUAGGCGCUGGGAACUGUAUGUCUGGAGUACAGGAGGGGGAGUCGGAAUUCCUGGUGUAGGGGUGAAAUCUGUAGAUAUCAGGAAGAACACCGGUGGCGAAGGCGAACUCCUGGCCUGUUACUGACGCUGAGGCGCGAAAGCGUGGGGAGCGAACAGGAUUAGAUACCCUGGUAGUCCACGCUGUAAACGAUGUGCACUGGGUGUUGGUUCUAUGAAGGAUCAGUGCCGUAGCUAACGCGAUAAGUGCACCGCCUGGGGAGUAUGCUCGCAAGGGUG
rnacentral:rRNA from 1 species